AUACUGAGGGUGCAAGCGUUAAUCGGAAUUACUGGGCGUAAAGCGCACGUAGGCGGUUUAUUAAGUCAGAUGUGAAAGCCCUGGGCUUAACCUGGGAACUGCAUUUGAGACUGGUAGGCUAGAGUAUGGUAGAGGAUAGUGGAAUUCCGGGUGUAGCGGUGAAAUGCGUAGAUAUCUGGAGGAACAUCAGUGGCGAAGGCGGCUAUCUGGACCAAUACUGACGCUGAGGUGCGAAAGCGUGGGGAGCAAACAGGAUUAGAAACCCUAGUAGUCC
rnacentral:rRNA from 1 species